rnacentral:lncRNA from 1 species
CAGGAGGCAGUUUCUUCGCUGGACUCAACUCCACAUUCUGUCUCUCCUAUGAGAAGCAUGAAGUGCUCCGAAGGCUGCCAACAAAAUGUCAAGUGAGUCCACUGACAAAAAGGAAGAGAAACCUUGGAAAAACAUUAUUGCUUAUGUUCCAUCUGAAUCUGAGCAGCUGACCUGAGGAAGGAGGUGGCUCAUCCAAGCUGAGACAUGGUGUUUCAAGAGGUGAAACCACAGGGAAAGUUUGAAAUGAAAGUCAUAUGGGAAGAAAUGGAGAGAAGCAAGUUGGAGAUCUUUCUAGAUCACCAUCCCGUAUUGGUACCCAUGCCUCAGUUUAUUUCUGCUGGAGAAGGUGAUGCUAGAAGCUCAGGUUCUCUGUCCUCUCCAUGAUCCUGUGAGCUGUCUAAUAUCCCUCCAUAAAAGC